UUUCCCUCAGGAUAGCUGGCGCUAGAUGGGAGAGCAGUCACACCUGGUAAAGCGAAUGAUCAGAGGCAUUGGGGUCGAAACGUCCUCAACCCAUUCUCAAACUUUCAAUGGGUGUAGCUUACAGGCUCUUCAGCAUUAAGGCGCGCUUGCUCCCAAUGGAAAAGCAGAUGGCUAACGGCGCGCUGCUACUUUAAAUCUCACUGGAGAAAAAAAAAAUUGCCU
rnacentral:rRNA from 1 species